rnacentral:rRNA from 1 species
GACGAACGCUGGCGGCGUUCCUAAUACAUGCAAGUAGAACGCACAGUUUAUACCGUAGCUUGCUACACCAUAAACUGUGAGUUGCGAACGGGUGAGUAACGCGUAGGUAACCUGCCUGGUAGCGGGGGAUAACUAUUGGAAACGAUAGCUAAUACUGCAUAAUAUUGAUUAUUGCAUGAUAAUUGAUUGAAAGAUGCUAUUGCAUCACUACCAGAUGGACCUGCGUUGUAUUAGCUAGUAGGUGAGGUAACGGCUCACCUAGGCGACGAUACAUAGCCGACCUAAGAGGGUGAUCGGCAACACUGGGACUAAAACGCGGCCCAGACUCCUACGGGAGGCAGCAGUAGGGAAUCUUCGGCAAUGGACGAAAGUCUGACCGAGCAACGCCGCGUAAGUGAAGAAGGUUUUCGAAUCGUAAAGCUCUGUUGUAAGAGAAGAACGGGUGUGAGAGUGGAAAGUUCACACUGUGACGGUAUCUUACCAGAAAGGGACGGAUAACUACGU